GGUAACUCAGUGGUAGAGUGCUUGCCUUGCAUGCAUGAGGCCCUGGGUUCGAUUCCUCAGUACCA
rnacentral:tRNA from 1 species